GACGAACGCUGGCGGCGUGCUUAACACAUGCGAGUCGAACGCUGAAGCUCAGCUUUUGUUGGGUGGAUGAGUGGCGAACGGGUGAGUAACACGUGAGUAACCUGCCCCCUUCUUUGGGAUAACGCCCGGAAACGGGUGCUAAUACUGGAUAUUCACUGGUCUUCGCAUGGGGGUUGGUGGAAAGGGUUUUUCUGGUGGGGGAUGGGCUCGCGGCCUAUCAGCUUGUUGGUGGGGUGAUGGCCUACCAAGGCUUUGACGGGUAGCCGGCCUGAGAGGGUGACCGGUAACAUUGGGACUGAGAUACGGCCCAGACUCCUACGGGAGGCAGCAGUGGGGAAUAUUGCACAAUGGGCGCAAGCCUGAUGCAGCGACGCCGCGGGAGGGAUGGAGGCCUUCGGGUUGUGAACCUCUUUCGCUCAUGGUCAAGCCGCAACAAUGGUUGUGGUGAGGGUAGUGGGUAAAGAAGCGCCGGCUAACUACGUG
rnacentral:rRNA from 1 species